rnacentral:rRNA from 1 species
GCAUCGAUGAAGAACGCAGCGAAUCGCGAAAUGUCAGGCAAACUGCAGAAUAUUGUGAGUCUGGUAAUUUUUGAAUGCACCUUGCAAAUGUAUCUACUCGAUACCUUUACAUUUGAAUGAGUUGUCGCACUAUUUGUUACGCGUGCAUAUAUUUAUAUAUGCACGUGUGGCCUGUUGUUGUAAAGUGCACAAAAGUGUACACUUUACAAUUAAAUAUGUUUUGUGUAUGUGCGUUUAAACGCCAUUUAUAACGAGUCAUUUGCGACAAAGUAUGUUUGUUGGAUUUGCGCACGUACACUAGUACUUUUUAGCACACUCAUUUCAAGUGAGAUUACCCGCUAAACUUAAGCAUAUCAAUAAGCGGAGGA